UACGUAGGGUGCGAGCGUUAAUCGGAAUUACUGGGCGUAAAGCGUGCGCAGGCGGUUUUGUAAGCCAGAUGUGAAAGCCCCGGGCUCAACCUGGGAAUGGCAUUUGGGACUGCAAGGCUUGAGUGCGGCAGAGGAGACUGGAAUUCCUGGUGUAGCAGUGAAAUGCGUAGAUAUCAGGAGGAAUACCGAUGGCGAAGGCAGGUCUCUGGGCUGACACUUACGCUCAUUCACGAAAGCGUGGGGAGCAAACAGG
rnacentral:rRNA from 1 species